GUCAUCAGUUUGAGCCGCUUUCCUUGCCUUGGUCCCUGAGAACCGUCUUCCGACCCUUCCUCCUUCGGUGCUGACUGCUCCCGCGGCUCUUUACGCUGAGAUGUUUCACUGACUUCUGCCUGAGAUCUGGAAAAGGAACACUGCCCAAUAGAUGAACAUGUGUGAAAAAUAACUUCCAAGGAACAUCAUGGUACUAAGUAUCAAAUGGAAAGGGAAAGCGAGCAGGCAUAUUUCUGCCAUGGCAGAAACAGCUCUCAUAGGCUUCAGAAAUAGCCUCCUCCCCGCCGCACCCCACCCCCACCCCCGAGUUCGUCUUCCUCCUGAUGCGGGAGGCUUGACUCCAGUGCGCAGGGACUGUGCUAAACAGAAAACUGUCAGUCACUGCGGGAAUGUGCCUCCCUGAUCGCCGCGAUCGCCCGCUGCCGCAGCUGUUUCUCCUUCACACGCAUAGGCUCCCUGUCUUGCAUGGGAGGGAGCAGACCCAGGGGACACCAGACCAACUUGAGUUCACAUGGGUUGACUAUCCACACCUCUCUCCUCUGUCUUUGGUAUCCCGUGAAGUGUGCUGUGUCUCCUCUACCCUGUGAUUCCUGUUCAUCUCAGGAAGCAGCUGAAAGGGUCAGGAAGGUCCUGGGACAUUAAACUACUGUUUGGAUGA
rnacentral:lncRNA from 1 species